rnacentral:rRNA from 1 species
AUUGAACGCUGGCGGCAGGCUUAACACAUGCAAGUCGAGCGGAGAUGAGGUGCUUGCACCUUAUCUUAGCGGCGGACGGGUGAGUAAUGCUUAGGAAUCUGCCUAUUAGUGGGGGACAACAUUCCGAAAGGAAUGCUAAUACCGCAUACGUCCUACGGGAGAAAGCAGGGGAUCUUCGGACCUUGCGCUAAUAGAUGAGCCUAAGUCGGAUUAGCUAGUUGGUGGGGUAAAGGCCUACCAAGGCGACGAUCUGUAGCGGGUCUGAGAGGAUGAUCCGCCACACUGGGACUGAGACACGGCCCAGACUCCUACGGGAGGCAGCAGUGGGGAAUAUUGGACAAUGGGGGAAACCCUGAUCCAGCCAUGCCGCGUGUGAAGAAGGCCUUAUGGUUGUAAAGCACUUUAAGCGAGGAGGAGGCUACUGAGACUAAUACUCUUGGAUAGUGGACGUUACUCGCAGAAUAAGCACCGGCUAACUCUGUGCCAGCAGCCGCUGUAACAC